rnacentral:rRNA from 1 species
AUUGAACGCUGGCGGCAUGCUUUACACAUGCAAGUCGAACGGCAGCGCGGGGCAACCUGGCGGCGAGUGGCGAACGGGUGAGUCAUACAUCGGAACGUACCCAGAAGUGGGGGAUAACGUAGCGAAAGUUACGCUAAUACCGCAUACGUUCUACGGAAGAAAGUUGGGGACCGCAAAGCCUCAUGCUUUUGGAGCGGCCGUUGUCUGAUUAGCUAGUUGGUGAGGUAAAGGCUCACCAAGGCGACGAUCAGUAGCUGGUCUGAGAGGACGACCAGCCACACUGGGACUGAGACACGGCCCAGACUCCUACGGGAGGCAGCAGUGGGGAAUUUUGGACAAUGGGCGCAAGCCUGAUCCAGCAAUGCCGCGUGAGUGAAGAAGGCCUUCGGGUUGUAAAGCUCUUUUGUCAGGGAAGAAACGGCUGAGGUUAAUACCUUCGGCUAAUGACGGUACCCGAAGAAUAAGCACCGGCUAACUACGUGCCAGCAGCCGCGGUAA